UAUUUGCAAGACAGAUGGACUGUAGAGACCAGAAAAUGCACACGUUUACGGUCCGUAUAAGGUUACAGGUUUGUCCAAAUUAAAGAUACCAUAAAUUCUAGUUAUGCCAGAGACGUUGGUCCUACAGAGCCAGAAGGGCUCUUCAUAUGAGAUAACAAGGGCUGAAGCCAGUUGGAUCUAAAGUGCCAAGUUAUUCGUUAUCAGGUGUUCCUGGACAGUUUUGAAACCGAGAUGUCUGAACGCCUCAAAUAAUCAGCAGUAAAGACAACAGAGACAAAUUCUCUAAUACCAAGGUCAAUGCAUUUGACUGCUGUCCAGCCCCGGGUUGCCACCAAAAACUUUAUGCAUCUUG